rnacentral:rRNA from 1 species
GAUGAACGCUAGCUACAGGCUUAACACAUGCAAGUCGAGGGGCAGCGCAGUGUAGCAAUACAUGGGCGGCGACCGGCGCACGGGUGCGUAACGCGUAUCCAACCUUCCCGAUACUCAGGGAUAGCCUUCCGAAAGGGAGAUUAAUACCUGAUGGUGUUUCAAUUCCGCAUGUUAAUGAAACUAAAGAUUUAUCGGUAACGGAUGGGGAUGCGUGACAUUAGAUAGUAGGCGGGGUAACGGCCCACCUAGUCUACGAUGUCUAGGGGUUCUGAGAGGAAGGUCCCCCACACUGGAACUGAGACACGGUCCAGACUCCUACGGGAGGCAGCAGUGAGGAAUAUUGGUCAAUGGCCGGAAGGCUGAACCAGCCAAGUAGCGUGAAGGAUGAAGGUUCUAUGGAUUGUAAACUUCUUUUAUGAGGGAAUAAAACCUCCCACGUGUGGGAGCUUGUAUGUACCUUAUGAAUAAGCAUCGGCUAACUCCGUGCCAGCAGCCGCGGU